UGGGACAAAUGGCAAACUGAGGUGUUAC
rnacentral:piRNA from 1 species